GACUACAUGAAGCUGGAAUCGCUAGUAAUCGCGAAUCAGAAUGUCGCGGUGAAUACGUUCCCGGGUCGUUGUACACACCGCCCGUCACACCAUGGGAGUCAGUAACGCCCGAAGUCAGUGACCCAACCGGAACUGGAGGGAGCUGCCGAAGGUGGGACCGAUAACUGGGGUGAAGUCGUAACAAGGUAAC
rnacentral:rRNA from 1 species